GAAAGGCGUAGAAACAUGGUGCAACAUCAUAUAAACUUGUCAAGUCUCUCUCACAACCGUACCAAUACAUAUACGAUUCAGGGUGCAUUCAAUACAGCUUUUUUGGCUGAAAUUUUCAGUUUAGCUAUAUUUGUAUUAAUAAGAUUUAUAAUGGGCACUCAUUAAGGUUACAAAGUAGAAGUUUUGUAUGGAGAACAAAAGAGAUUCAUGUUUCCAAUGCAUUAACUAAAUCAAAAGGUUGAACAUUUUGUUUUUCCUUAGUAAAGAGCUGUCAUUAGCAGAAUUCUUGUAUAAAGUAAUCAAAAUUCCAAAUGAAUCAAUUUCCAACUUUUUGGGAAAAGCUAAACAGAGUAGUUUCUAAUUACAAAUCAAUCUACCGCUUUUUUUUUCAACUUAUAAAGAAAUCAAGUUUCGAAUUAUUAAAAUAAAUCUGUUUCAUAAAUUCCAAUAUGCAAGCCAAAGGUAAAGGACUUAGACAUAUCAACUGAACAUAUGGCAUCAAUCUCUGACCCAAAAAAAAGGCUGAAUAGAUGUAUUUGCUUGGCGCAAGCAACAUUUUGAAGUGCACAACUUUUCUUACAUGCAUAACACCAGGAUCAUGAAAGCACGGCUGAAAAUUGAAGUCAAAGGACUCUAUUUUUUCAUAGGAUACCUCCUCCUUUUGUACUCCAUCGUUUUAUACUAAAAAAAAGAAUUAGUUUUGACUAAUUGAAAACAAAUAUCAGGCUAAACAACAAGAAAUACAUCAAUUACCAUAACAGUGCAGGCUUGGGGGGAGAGGAUGGAGAAGCUAAUGCCAAACAGGAUAAGAAAGUUGUGGAAGAUAAGGUGUUAUAAAACCAUUUCAUCGAGGGGAUAACAAAAACAGUGUGUCCGAGAAAUAGUGGGUUCAGAAAUUUCAUUCACUCUGCUGGCCUGGAAGAGUAGGAUAAGGGAAGAGAGAAUCUUCAGAAUUUGGGAAGCGAGGCCUAUAUGUAGUGUACGAGAGGGGCAUGCAGGAAGGAAUUCAAUUGAGAGUUGGUACACUGGGAGAGAAUCGAGCUAAUUGAAAGCUAAAGCUUUUUCCUUUUUGGGCAUUGUUUUUGUAAAUUCCUUCAAGUAGCCACUACUGUUAUUACCUUGAUAUCAAGUCUGCAUUCAGUAAUACAGGAUUUUGUUUCCUUCAUAUUCUCAGGAUUCCAGUUUCUAUAAACUCAAAACAGGAUUCCUCCAAGGAACAUUGGGACCCUAAAGCUCCUGAUCUUCAAAAGAAGCAGGAAACGAUGAAGGAGGAUAGAAACGUUGAGGAGGAAAAAGAGAAUAAAGAUUUCGAGGAGGAUGAAGAUGUUGAAGUCAAGGUGGUGGUGACUAUGACAGUGUCCAGACAUCAGAUCUUGUUCAGAACUAGAGGAUGAUCAAAAGAAAAAAAAAACAAAUAUAUUCGAUGGGAGGAAACAAAUAAUGUGCCAUUGUAGGUGACCGACUGGAGGUGAAGGCAGAAAAAUGAGUCGAAAGCCAAUGAAAUUUAUUCAGAACUUGAUGAAGUUGAAGGAGCAAGAUAAAGAACCCUAAAGAAGCACAAAGGGUUGAUGAUGAGGUGGAAUAUAAGAAAGAUGGUAUUGGUGCUAAAUGAGGAGCAAGGCAGACAAUAGCCAGUGAAGAACAGAGGUCUAGCAAGGAUUAGACAGGAGAUAAAUAUUUAAGGUUUAUUCAGAAAUGAUUUAGUGUGUUUUACAAGAGUACUUUGUCUUCAGAUAAUAUCUUAAAUUAUUUUCUUUUUCACAUCAA